GUGGGGAAUAUUGGACAAUGGGCGCAAGCCUGAUCCAGCCAUACCGCGUGGGUGAAGAAGGCCUUCGGGUUGUAAAGCCCUUUUGUUGGGAAAGAAAUCCUGUCGGUUAAUACCUGGCGGGGAUGACGGUACCCAAAGAAUAAGCACCGGCUAACUUCGUGCCAGCAGCCGCGGUAAUACGAAGGGUGCAAGCGUUACUCGGAAUUACUGGGCGUAAAGCGUGCGUAGGUGGUGGUUUAAGUCCGUUGUGAAAGCCCUGGGCUCAACCUGGGAAUUGCAGUGGAUACUGGAUCACUAGAGUGUGGUAGAGGGAUGCGGAAUUUCUGGUGUAGCAGUGAAAUGCGUAGAGAUCAGAAGGAACAUCCGUGGCGAAGGCGGCAUCCUGGGCCAACACUGACACUGAGGCACGAAAGCGUGGGGAGCAAACAGGAUUAGAUACCCCAGUAGUCC
rnacentral:rRNA from 1 species